UGGGGAAUAUUGGACAAUGGGCGAAAGCCUGAUCCAGCCAUGCCGCGUGUGUGAAGAAGGUCUUCGGAUUGUAAAGCACUUUAAGUUGGGAGGAAGGGCAGUUACCUAAUACGUGAUUGUCUUGACGUUACCGACAGAAUAAGCACCAGCUAACUCUGUGCCAGCAGCCGCGGUAAUACAGAGGGUGCAAGCGUUAAUCGGAAUUACUGGGCGUAAGGCGCGCGUAGGUGGUUUGUUAAGUUGGAUGUGAAAUCCCCGGGCUCAACCUGGGAACUGCAUUCAAAACUGACAGGCUAGAGUAUGGUAGAGGGUGGUGGAAUUUCCCGUGUAGCGGUGAAAAUGCGUAGAUAUAGGAAGGAACACCAGUGGCGAAGGCGACCACCUGGACUGAUACUGACACUGAGGUGCGAAAAGCGUGGGGAGCAAAACAGGAUUAGAUACCCUGGUAGUCCACGCCGUAAAAUGAUGUCAACUAGCCGUUGGGAGCCUUGAGCUCUUAGUGGCGCAGCUAACACAUUAAAAUUGACCGCCUGGGGAGUACGGCCGCAAGGUUAAAAACUCAAAGGAAUUGACGGGGUCAUAGCUG
rnacentral:rRNA from 1 species